rnacentral:rRNA from 1 species
CAAUAGCGUAUAUUAAAGUUGUUGCAGUUAAAAAGCUCGUAGUUGGAUUUCUGGUGGGAGCGAUCGGUCUGGCGCUUAGCGCGAGUACUUGCAUCGUCUCCGGCCAUCCUUGGGGAGAGUCUGUCUGGCAUUAAGUUGUCGGGCAGAGGAUCCUCAUCGUUUACUGUGAAAAAAUUAGAGUGUUCAAAGCAGGCUUAUGCCGUUGAAUAUAUUAGCAUGGAAUAAUAAGAUAGGACUUUGGUACUAUUUUGUUGGUUUGCGCACCAAAGUAAUGAUUAAUAGGGACAGUUGGGGGUAUUCGUAUUCCGUUGUCAGAGGUGAAAUUCUUGGAUUUACGGAAGACGUACUACUGCGAAAGCAUUUACCAAGGAUGUUUUCAUUAA